rnacentral:rRNA from 1 species
UACGGGGGGGGCAAGCGUUGUUCGGAAUUACUGGGCGUAAAGGGUGCGUAGGCGGUUCACUAAGUUGGAUGUGAAAACUAUGGGCUCAACUCAUAGCUUGCAUCCAAUACUGAUGGACUAGAGUUCUGGAGGGGGUAGCGGAAUUCCUGGUGUAGCGGUGAAAUGCGUAGAUAUCAGGAGGAACACCGGUGGCGAAGGCGGCUACCUGGACAGAGUCUGACGCUGAGGCACGAAGGCUAGGGGAGCAAACAGG